rnacentral:rRNA from 1 species
GACGAACGCUGGCGGCGUGCCUAACACAUGCAAGUUGAGCGACGAACCAGGGCUUGCCCUGGGGCAAAGCAGCGAACGGGUGAGUAACACGUGGGUAACGUGCCCCGAUAACCGGGACAACCCGAGGAAACUCGGGCUAAUACCGGAUGUGCCCAUCAGACACCAGUCUGAUGUGUAAAGGAAGCUUCGGCCUCCGUAUCGGGAGCGGCCCGCGGCCCAUUAGUUAGUUGGUGAGGUAACGGCUCACCAAGACCGCGAUGGGUAGCUGGUCUGAGAGGACGAUCAGCCACACUGGGACUGAGACACGGCCCAGACUCCUACGGGAGGCAGCAGUGGGGAAUCUUGCGCAAUGCGCGAAAGCGUGACGCAGCAACGCCGCGUGGGGGAAGACGGCCUUCGGGUUGUAAACCCCUUUCAGGAGGGACGAAGGUGUGACGGUUAACAGCCGUUUGCACUGACGGUACCUCCACAAGAAGCUCCGGCUAACUACGUGCCAGCAGCCGCCGAGUAACAC